CGAGAUUGUCGAAAAAUUGAUGACAGCCAGUUAUGAAGCUGACAUAAGGACGAUUGAAGAUCUGGCCAAUUCAAAACUUCUGGUUGAAUGGGCUAAUCAUCCGUAUUGGCAGAGAGAUUUUGAAUCAUUAACUGAUGCUGAAAUUAAAGCUUUCUCACGUUGGACUGAUGAAAACAUAAAUAUUCCCUACACAAAGAAAGUAACAGCACAUUAUAUGACAAUUACCAAGUUAUCGACAUUAUUGAACCAGAAAACCGGCGAUUUUCUGUCUUUGGUGAAGCCUAUGGAUUAUUUUUUCUUGAAAUCAUAUUCGACGAUUUCUAUAACAAGUGAAGCAUAUUUAUUGCACAUGCCGCUAUUAAAUCAGUUUAUUCUUUGGUGGAAAAGUGGCGGUUUGCUUACAAAAUGGGAGUGGGAUACUUACGCGACCGAAAACAAAAUGGCGGAUAUACUAAAGUAUCUGGAUAAUAAAAUUCCACCGAAGGGACCAACCAUAUUGCUUUUGGAACACGUCCGGGGUGUUUUUCUGGUAUGGAUUAUAGGAAUUACAAUUGCAAUAUUAUC